AGAGUUUGAUCCUGGCUCAGGAUGAACGCUAGCGGCAGGCCUAACACAUGCAAGUCGAGGGGCAGCACGGUGUAGCAAUACACUGGUGGCGACCGGCGCACGGGUGCGUAACGCGUAUGCAACCUACCCAUAACAGGGGGAUAACACUGAGAAAUUGGUACUAAUACCCCAUAACAUCAGGACCGGCAUCGGUUCUGGUUGAAAACUCCGGUGGUUAUGGAUGGGCAUGCGUUGUAUUAGCUGGUUGGUGAGGUAACGGCUCACCAAGGCAACGAUACAUAGGGGGACUGAGAGGUUAACCCCCCACAUUGGUACUGAGACACGGACCAAACUCCUACGGGAGGCAGCAGUGAGGAAUAUUGGUCAAUGGCCGAGAGGCUGAACCAGCCAAGUCGCGUGAAGGAAGAAGGAUCUAUGGUUUGUAAACUUCUUUUAUAGGGGAAUAAAGUGGAGGACGUGUCCUUUUUUGUAUGUACCCUAUGAAUAAGCAUCGGCUAACUCCGUGCCAGCAGCCGCGGUAAUACGGAGGAUGCGAGCGUUAUCCGGAUUUAUUGGGUUUAAAGGGUGCGUAGGUGGUGAUUUAAGUCAGCGGUGAAAGUUUGUGGCUCAACCAUAAAAUUGCCGUUGAAACUGGGUUACUUGAGUGUGUUUGAGGUAGGCGGAAUGCGUGGUGUAGCGGUGAAAUGCAUAGAUAUCACGCAGAACUCCAAUUGCGAAGGCAGCUUACUAAACCAUAACUGACACUGAAGCACGAAAGCGUGGGGAUCAAACAGGAUUAGAUACCCUGGUAGUCCACGCAGUAAACGAUGAUUACUAGGAGUUUGCGAUACAAUGUAAGCUCUACAGCGAAAGCGUUAAGUAAUCCACCUGGGGAGUACGCCGGCAACGGUGAAACUCAAAGGAAUUGACGGGGGCCCGCACAAGCGGAGGAACAUGUGGUUUAAUUCGAUGAUACGCGAGGAACCUUACCCGGGCUUAAAUUGCAGAUGAAUUACGGUGAAAGCCGUAAGCCGCAAGGCAUCUGUGAAGGUGCUGCAUGGUUGUCGUCAGCUCGUGCCGUGAGGUGUCGGCUUAA
rnacentral:rRNA from 1 species